GUGCUUACUUGGGCAGCACAUAUACUAAAAUUGGAAUGAUACAGAGAAGAUUAGCACAGCCCCUGUGCAAGGACAGCAUGCAGAUCUGUGAGGCGUUCAAUACAGAA
rnacentral:snRNA from 1 species